UACGUAGGUGGCAAGCGUUGUCCGGAAUUAUUGGGCGUAAGCGCGCGCAGGUGGUUCCUUAAGUCUGAUGUGAAAGCCCACGGCUCAACCGUGGAGGGUCAUUGGAAACUGGGGGACUUGAGUGCAGAAGAGGAAAGUGGAAUUCCAAGUGUAGCGGUGAAAUGCGUAGAGAUUUGGAGGAACACCAGUGGCGAAGGCGACUUUCUGGUCUGUAACUGACACUGAGGCGCGAAAAGCGUUGGGGAGCAAACAGGG
rnacentral:rRNA from 1 species